ensembl:lncRNA
UGUUGCGCGCGGCCGUGCGCGUUACCUGUGAAGGCUUUGGGCCUUUGCGAAUUCAAAUUGCAGCAAAUAAUAUCCUCCACUCCGUAGUGCAGCUCCAGCGCUCCAGUAGCUUCACCGUUAUCCAGUACGGUGUCCAGGGAAACUUUACACUGUCGGAUGGGUCGUAUUAUUCGAUGUUUGCACUGUAUCCAGCCCACACCUCCGUCACUCCUAGGCCCUUUCCUUUGUUUGUCUCCCGCAUCCAGGAUGAUGUCCGGCUUGCCGUCCUGCAGGACGCGCUGGCGUUUUGAUGGCAGUGGCUGUUUGGUCCGCUGGAGCCCAAAAAGCUCCAUAUCUGUCUGCCUUUUUAUCCCUCCAUCCAUCCUGUCCCUCCAUCCUUCAUCUCCUGGGGUUUCCAUCAACGUGCUCGAUGCACCAGCAUCAUCAUUCUCCCGAGUGACCAGCAGAUGUCACUAUUAUCUCUGUGUUAAAUCUCACUGGACUGCCGCUGCUGACAUGUCUGGCUCACACUGAUAGCAUUUGUCAAAUUUGUUUCACAUCAUUACACUUUUUUAUUCAACACACCCUCUCGAAGUGAACUAUUGUCAAAUGAUAAAUCUUUCUAAUGAGUUCAAAGCAGCCGAUGAUUUUGGCAAGUCUGACCCAACCCUAAUGAAGUUAUAAGGAAUUUGUUGAAGGUCUAAACGUGAUAAAUGUGAUAAAUCUAUGUUAACAGCUAUCCGCGUGCAGCUUGUGUAUGUAUAUGCAAGGUGAUGGGACUAAACCGGAAAGAAGCCGUCCAUUUUGUGUUCUUUGACUUUUUUCGGUGUCAUAACAUCCUCAUCAUAAAGACGUUAAUAUGACACUAUAGAACUCUUCAAAAGGGUUCGUGGGAACGCCACGAGAAAAAUAGACUUCUUUGAUGUAAAUAUGUGCAAUGAAGAUGUUUUGAUUUUUUUAAAGGCAGGCUGGAAUGUGAAGUAUUUAAAUGUGAAGUAAUUAUGUUAUGUUAUUGUUAUGUCAAAUCAAUUGUCACCCAGAAUUAUUCGUAUUAUAGAUUAAAC